rnacentral:rRNA from 1 species
GAUGAACGCUGGCGGCGUGCUUAACACAUGCAAGUCGAACGAUGAAGCUGGAGCUUGCUCUGGUGGAUUAGUGGCGAACGGGUGAGUAACACGUGAGCAACCUGCCCCUGACUCUGGGAUAACAGCCGGAAACGGCUGCUAAUACCGGAUAUGCACCAUGAACGCAUGUUCUGUGGUGGGAAAGAUUUUUCGGUUGGGGAUGGGCUCGCGGCCUAUCAGCUCGUUGGUGAGGUAAUGGCUCACCAAGGCGUCGACGGGUAGCCGGCCUGAGAGGGUGACCGGCCACACUGGGACUGAGACACGGCCCAGACUCCUACGGGAGGCAGCAGUGGGGAAUAUUGCACAAUGGGCGAAAGCCUGAUGCAGCAACGCCGCGUGAGGGAUGACGGCCUUCGGGUUGUAAACCUCUUUUAGCUAUGACGAAGCGCAAGUGACGGUAGUAGCAGAAGAAGGACCGGCCAACUACGUGCCAGCCGCCGCGGUAA